rnacentral:snRNA from 1 species
UAUCUAGUUCCUAGUAAAGUUCA